CCAGUGCGUCCGCCCCCCACCUGGGAGGAGGAGGUGCCACCCUGCCGGGCGCUUUUCUGCACCUCAUCUGCGUAGACCACGACCCUCCCCUCCCCCUCGCUCCGUUGGCUUGGUGAACUUGCUUUUUUACUCCUUGCUUUUCUCCGUGUAACGGUCCUGUUUGUCCUGGAACUCACUCUGGCGACCAGGCUGGCCUCCAACUCACAGGGAUCCGCCUGCCUCUGCUUCCCGAGUGCUGGCAGUAAAGAAUAACAUUUGGCGCCCGGACGUGAAAAGGCUCUGCCCUUAUACCUUCUGCGACCUGCUGGCGGGCACAUGUUAGGCUAAGGGUAACCUUACAAUCCACUUCCAUCUCCGCUUUUCCUGGCACUUCCUCCUGCCUGCAGCAGCCUGAGAUGCCGGAACUCAACUCGCCGCUUUCCAACUAAGGAUCUCUUAAACUCACUGAUCUGCCUAUUCGCUACAAUCCGGUAAGAAACCCAAACUGUUCCCAUGGGGCAGACCCAGCGCUGUUCAAUCUGGGUCCAUUUUUCGGUUUCGGGCUGGGUGCUCUCAGACAGGGCAAUCUGUGCAUUUUUCGGCCUUGCCCACGGGAAAUACAUUUUUACGAGAUCUUUCGGUUACUGGCAGCGAAUAGGUAAAUGAGCGGAGUUCUGCCUCCCAGUGGGAACUUUCUUUCACCUGGGAAUGUCCCUCAUUGUUCUGUUUGUUCUUUCUCUGACUGUUUCUUCUUGGUUGGCAAUGUCUGCUUGAGACGCUCUAAGAGUUUUUGUUUGUUUGCUGGUUUUCAUUUUGUUUGUUUACUGGUUUGAAACUUUUCUGGCAAUUGAGAAUGUGCUUACGGGGGUCGCCAUCGGCCACGUGUGCUAACCUGGGGGCCGCCAUCUUGGUCAUAACCAGGUGACCUGGCUUAGGCCUACCCACUCAGUUCAAUGACUUCCACCGGCAAGCACUGCCACCUGACAUCCUACUUUUUAUAUCUUUCACUUGUUGGGUGCAUUUCCUAAAGGUCAGGCAAGGGAUCCCGCUCCAGGAGCGGUGCUUUUUUCAGUUCGGACUGCUGGGUCCUUUUUCGGUUUCGGGACAGCUGUGUCCCCUUCGGGGCCAGGCCCCUGGCAACUCCCACGGGCAGACGUGCAUCCGUAGAGGAGCUUUUUGCCGGUUCUCCACCUGCCUCACCCAUGGGAAAUGCACAGAGGAACCUUUCUGGUUUCAUCCAACAAGCAGGUAAACAGACAAAAGCGGCUUACAGUUGCCGCCGUUUUGGUCAUGUGACCUACCUGUAGGCACGCACAGCUCCAGUGGCCUAUCGAACAAACCUGUCUGCCGGAGUUUUGAUUUCUGCCAGAUCUUUUUGCUUUUUAUUUUUAUUUUUUGUCUUUUUCUUUCACUGGCUCUGUUGUUCAUGGCUUGUUUACUAAAUACUGUGCCUUUCCAGGGCCCUCUGUUUAAAUCUACUCUGUCCCUUUAAAUCUCCUGUCUGUUUGCUACAAUGUACAGAUCAGAGAUUACAUUCUGAUUCCCCCUUUACUGUUAUCCAGUCCUGCUUGUCUCUGUACCUGUAAUUUAACUUUAUACUUAUCUAGCUCUAUAUGUAACUUAAAUUAAACUAUACUAAGUCUCAUAUUUCUAAAUUGCUAUAUAUCUUUAAAUGAUGGUAAACAUUUAAAGUCAUAAAGUUCUAAUCUACCUUUACUUAAAAUAUAAGCUAAGUCUAUACAACUUAAAUUUAACUCAUGUAUCUUUAAGUGAUGAUGAAAAUUUAAAAUUAUAAAGAUCUAUUUCAAAUUAACAAAAUAUUUAUACCACUCAGUUUAUCCUGUAAGCCGUUUACAAAGAUACAGCUUUUAUUACAAAAAGGUAUUUUUUCUCUAACUAAAGACAAACUUAACUGCUAAGAUACUAAACAGACAGCCCUCAAAUGCUCAGAGAUCUAGAGAAUAUGGCAUUUAAAAUGUUUUGUUAAAAAGCUUUUUGUAACAGAGAGAUAGGCCAGCUGCUGGCCCCACCCCAUUUCCUCCGAGAAGACUGGGCACUGAAGAAACUUCAUCUCAGUGACAACGCUGGUCACUGAGCAACCCUGCCCUUCACCUCAACUGGUACAAAGUAUUCCAGACCAUGGACAAGAGGACAACGGAAUCGACUUUCCCGGCGUUGCUUGGGCCAACGGUAGGCGAGUCUUCCCAAAGUCUCUAAUCCACAGGUCGCAAGUUAUCAGCAAGAAGGCAGGUAUCCUGCAGCCCACUACUAUGGAUGGAGCACCUUGGGGAUGGCUGUCCAUGCAGCCUGCUGGCAAGUCUCUGUUAUUCUUUAAUCAUUGAUUCAGGUAAAAUCUUAUCCUUCUCAAGAACUCUGAUGCUUUUGACGACUAAUAGUCUUGCCAGCUUAAAGCAAAACAUUCCAGUAACAGGUAUUUUAGGGUUUAUCUAUGUAAAGAUAGGAAAGUCUAAGAUGUAUAAAAGUCUGAGAAUGUAGUUACAAAGGCCUGAGGAUAAAAAGGCUUAAAUGAUGAUAAUGAGUUGAGACAUUAAAAAGAAUAAAAAAUGUUCCUGAUUUCUCUAUUUCUCAUGCUACUGUUCAUAGUAAAGUUCAACAAUACCACUAUAUGAUCAUAACUACAAGGUCAAGAUUAUGAUACUUUUCAUUGUCAAAAAAAAAUCUGUCUGUUUUAAAAUGGUAAUGCUUUUAGCCAAGUUGCUUCUAACAUGAAUAUGCUACUAAUGUGUCUAAUACUUAUGUUUCCACAAACUCUAAGGAUUCUUGUAAGUUCCAGGGAGCCGAAUCAGAUCCAAACAGGUCAGAUUCACUCCAGGUAAUAUUCAACCUUUCCCCAGUCCCAAAUUCCCUUCUCUCAUCUUGGGACUCCUCGGGAACCCCUCCCUCAUCUUACAAUCUUCCCCUCAAGUGACAGGACCUAAGAAAAUUUUUUUUUCUAAUCUCAACCUUGUCUUCUGCUCUGUCAACAUCUUGCCAGGUCUAAGAGGCGCCAGGGAGUUGCAUACAGCCUGGACUACAAUGAAACAACCAGCUUCCCCAGGACGUGGCAGCACCCCAACCUUCUCGGGUCCCCCAAAGAUGGUCAACGCCCCCACGUCAGCAGGAAGCAGUCUUAAGAAUUCGACGCCCUUAUUCCUUAACCUGCCAUGUCUAAACACCCCACCUUUUUUAAUAAUAAGUAGAGGUGGGAAUGAAAGGUUCAGGCAUUAUGCUGGCCUGCCCCUGUUACCUGGUGGAAUCCACUCAGGCAAUACCCUGGUCAGCCCAAGGUUCCAUGGGAAAGAAGUCUGCACACAGGUGCAGAGGACCCCUUUAAAAGAUAGGCCCCUGCACCUUUCUCUCUCUCUCUCUGCCCCUUUACGCUCGCGCUCUCUCUCUCUCUCCCCCUGUUCCUGCUCUCUGUCCCCUCUCUCUGUUUCCCCGCUCUGUCUCUCUAUGGCGACCGGCCAUGGCGGUCAGCCAUUACCCUGUUCCUCUUCUUAGUCUCCCCAUUCUACCGGGCCAUAUAAUAAACUUAUAGUCAAUAUGUCUGUCUCAAUAUUUCUCUUUUCUUCUUUUUAAACAAAAGAAUAACACUUAGAGCUUGUGUGUAUGCUUGUGGAGGGAGGGCUCCAGUGAAUCUUGUUAGUUUCAGUGACUUCCUGAAGAAUAUGGAGUUGUUUACUCUUGAACUUCCUGCAGUAUGCAAUGUUUCACUUCAUCUCCCUUUUAACAUCCUGUCUUAACUUCCCUCUAGAACACCCGUUGUUUGGCUUCCUCUUAAAUCCUGUGUGCUAAUGAAAGUCCCUCCAAUAUGGAAUGUUUUAACUUCCCAGGAACAGUUAUACAACAGUACCUCUCUCAUGAGAAUCUUGGCACCUAUGGGGACGUGUGGGGGAGGAGUGGGUGCCCUUCCAGGUUCUGCUUAACAUGAUUAAUGUACCAAACUGCCAUGUUUAAAGCCAGUAUAUCCCAAACCCAUCAUACCUAAGAUGCAAGCCUCAGGAUCCAAAACAGUGACUGCAAAGGCUAAUGCUUACAUUGAAGGAACCGGCUUCCCUUUUGGCAGCCAUAACAGCCGAACACAUGCUUGCCAUAAACCUGCCUUGGUCACGUAGAGGUCAGAUGCCUGUCUCGUGACAAGGAACCAAUCGGAAGUUAGCUGGUGGCGCUAUGCUUUACGACCCUGGGUGUGCUUUACGGACAAGCGCACGACAAUGACGUAGAGAGCAUAGCAACCACCCUGGGAGGGCCUAUGGGCCAUAACAACCAGUUGACCAAUCAACACAGGGCAAGCCCUCCAAGCCUGGAGGCACACCAAUCGUGAGCCUGUGCGUACCCCUAGACACUCCCCUUACGCUGCCCUAUAAGAUCUUUUGGGAGACCCAAGGAGCCGUCUUUUCUAGCUGUCCGCCAUGGUGGGUGGUUGAAAGACCCGAGCUAACAUGGGGUUAGCUCGUUAAAUUACAAUAAAGCCUCGUGCAGUUUGCAGCAAGCUCUCGAAUCCGCCUGGUGAUUGGGGUGACCGCGAACCUGGCCUAAGACCCCGGACACUUGAGUUUUCGGGGGUCUAACAACAUCUAUACAAAGGAAUGAGUUUGUAUUCACUAUACAGUUUUCUCCCAAGUUUAUAUGUCCAAAGUUUAUUAUGAAAACAGCAAUCCCCUGAACUCUGGAAUGCCCGUCCCCUAAGAAAUGCCAUUAUCCAUUAGUGCAGUGGUCGCGUUGUUUGAUAUUUAUCUCAUUGUUUUUCCUUGGUUCUCUUGGUCUCCAUACAAGGCACAAGUUUGUGGGUUCCCUCCCUACGCUAUGCCAGGAGAGCCAGCAAGGAACCUCAGGCAACCGCUGAACAGCUCCUAUGUUCUGUCUUUAGUCUUGGCCAAAGCUGGCUCCUGCGGACGGAUGAGGUUCCUGAGCUCUGUCCUUCUCCCAGCAACCACCCGAAAACAAUCAGCAAAAUAAGAUCAUGAAUGAAACAAGUCGACUGCAGAAGGGCAACCGUAGCCUUUGCUCCAGCCUGCACCGCAAAACUUGCUCCCAGGUACCAAAGGGCAGCUGUGACCAUGUUUCCUGCUAUAUAUAGUUCACCUGCGCAGGGGCCAGAGGCCAGGGGUUUCUGAGAGCUCCAUUUCUGGUGACUGUCAGAGGACCCAGGGAGCCCAGGCAUGGACGCCCUAGUGCGGUGUGGGCAAUUUUGCUCUCUCCGGCCUUUCUGCACUGGCUCAGGACCUGGGACCUUGCUGACCCGGACUCACACUUUGGACGGAAGGCUUAAAUUUUACUUAAAUGGAAGAAAACAACUUUCUCCCAAGGAAAACAUAAAGAUCUCACCUAGAUUUGAAGUCGGACCAUCUGGAUUCAAAGUCCAGAGUGCUCACAAUUAUACCACGGAAUCUUCACAGUGUAGCCACCAUUUAAUCACUCCUGGCCUGUGUAAUGGACAGACAAGCCACCACCCAAUCUUUCCUACUGACUGUCCUACUACUGUAUUUCAUCUACACCUGCGAAAAUGAGACCAAGUCCCCUCAACUCAGAGCUGGGAAGGACUCCUUCCGGCCUCCACCAUCCGUCUCAGAUUGCUACUCCUUGUCCCCGUGACAGUUCUUCCAAUAAAUGGUGUUAGUAUUCUUGUCUUUUGCCCUUUUUCCACCUCCCAGGAACACCAAGAGCAGGAUUUGGUGGUUCCUGCCUUCUUUGGUCACCUAGCAGUCACAAUGGCGCUCUACCACUUCCUAUACUAUAUAAAGUGGAUCAGCAAUGUAGGGGAAGUUUGGAUUCAGGGGAACCCUUUUUGUUGUUUGUUUGUUUGUUUGUUUGUUUUUUACAAGACAGAAUUUAUCCGUGUAGCUUUGGAGCCUGUCCUGGAACUUGGUCUGUAGACCAGGCUGGCCUUGAACUCAGAGAGCUCCACCUGCCUCUGCCUCCCGAGUGCUGGGAUGAAAGGUGUGCACCACUGCCUGGCUCAUAUUUUUAUUCAGAUAUACACAUUUGUGUACCUUUGGUGGGUUUUAUGUUUCUUAUAAUGAAUGUCUUCUUCUCCUUCUCCUUCUCCUCCUCCUUCUCCUUCUUCUUUUUUUUUGAGACAGGGUUUCUCUGUGGCUUUGGAGGCUGUCCUGGAACUAGCUCUUGUAGACCAGGCUGGUCUCGAACUCACAGAGAUCCGCCUGCCUUUGCCUCCGAAGUGCUGGGAUUAAACACCCGCAUGAAUGUCUAUUUUUAAAAUUAAAAAAAUAACCUUUGCCUUCACCUUUAAUUCUAGCACUUGAGAAGUACAAGCAGGUGCAUCUCUUUAAGUUCCUAGCCAGCCAGGGCUACACAGGGAGAGGUCUCAAAAAUCAAA
ensembl:lncRNA